AUGAACGCUAGCGGCAGGCUUAACACAUGCAAGUCGAGGGGCAGCAUAAUGGAUAGCAAUAUCUAUGGUGGCGACCGGCGCACGGGUGCGUAACGCGUAUGCAACCUACCUUUAACAGGGGGAUAACACUGAGAAAUUGGUACUAAUACCCCAUAAUAUCAUAGAAGGCAUCUUUUAUGGUUGAAAAUUCCGAUGGUUAGAGAUGGGCAUGCGUUGUAUUAGCUAGUUGGUGGGGUAACGGCUCACCAAGGCGACGAUACAUAGGGGGACUGAGAGGUUAACCCCCCACACUGGUACUGAGACACGGACCAGACUCCUACGGGAGGCAGCAGUGAGGAAUAUUGGUCAAUGGACGCAAGUCUGAACCAGCCAUGCCGCGUGCAGGAUGACGGCUCUAUGAGUUGUAAACUGCUUUUGUACGAGGGUAAACGCAGAUACGUGUAUCUGUCUGAAAGUAUCGUACGAAUAAGGAUCGGCUAACUCCGUGCCAGCAGCCGCGGUAAUACGGAGGAUUCAAGCGUUAUCCGGAUUUAUUGGGUUUAAAGGGUGCGUAGGCGGUUUGAUAAGUUAGAGGUGAAAUUUCGGGGCUCAACCCUGAACGUGCCUCUAAUACUGUUGAGCUAGAGAGUAGUUGCGGUAGGCGGAAUGUAUGGUGUAGCGGUGAAAUGCUUAGAGAUCAUACAGAACACCGAUUGCGAAGGCAGCUUACCAAACUAUAUCUGACGUUGAGGCACGAAAGCGUGGGGAGCAAACAGGAUUAGAUACCCUGGUAGUCCACACCGUAAACGAUGGAUACUAGGUGUAGGGGAUGAAUAGUCCUCUGUGCCGUCGCAAACGCAGUAAGUAUCCCACCUGGGGAGUACGGCCGCAAGGUUGAAACUCAAAGGAAUUGACGGGGGCCCGCACAAGCAGUGGAGUAUGUGGUUUAAUUCGAAGCAACGCGAAGAACCUUACCAGGUCUUGACAUCCGAUGCAUAGCGCAGAGAUGCGUGAAGUCCUUCGGGACAUCGAGACAGGUGGUGCAUGGUUGUCGUCAGCUCGUGCCGUGAGGUGUCGGGUUAAGUCCCAUAACGAGCGCAACCCCUACCGUUAGUUGCCAUCAGGUCAAGCUGGGCACUCUGGCGGGACUGCCGGUGUAAGCCGAGAGGAAGGUGGGGAUGACGUCAAAUCAGCACGGCCCUUACGUCCGGGGCUACACACGUGUUACAAUGGUAGGUACAGAGGGCAGCUACCCAGCGAUGGGAUGCGAAUCUCGAAAGCCUAUCUCAGUUCGGAUUGGAGGCUGAAACCCGCCUCCAUGAAGUUGGAUUCGCUAGUAAUCGCGCAUCAGCCAUGGCGCGGUGAAUACGUUCCCGGGCCUUGUACACACCGCCCGUCACACCAUGGGAGUCAGUAACGCCCGAAGUCAGUGACCUAACCGCAAGGGAGGAGCUGCCGAAGGCGGGACCGAUGACUGGGGUG
rnacentral:rRNA from 1 species